GUGGUAAUUUAAAAUAUGUGGGCCGAAAAUAAAUCCUAAUUAGAAUUUUAGUCGUAAUGGGACGGCUCAAUUAUUUCCUAUAUAAAGGCUAGAUCCCCUCUCCUCUCGAUAUAUAUUUCAUUAGCUAGCCCCAUUGAUAGCUAAUACUUUUGUGAAAAGCAAGGAGAGGAAAAUUUUGACUGCUAAUAUAACAAUUAUUCAUAUCAACAAUGACUUCCACAGAUAUGAAUUCGUUUUAUUAAUUUAUUAUGUGGUGAUUCUUGAUUCUUGGCAUGAUUACAAAUAAAUAUUAUCAUAACGUUAACAGUGAAAGUGGGAUACAGAAUGUUAAAGUAGACUUUUAUGAUAGAUAAUUUCUCGUUGCUAUGAAAGAUUGGGGGAAAUGGUCAUGGUUAGUUGUUGAAUAAUGGCUGCGAGCCUCCGAUUUGUAAUUGGUGGAAGAAGAUAAUUUUUUUUAAUGGUUUAUUAGAUAGCUGCUUUACAAAUAGAGGAUUAUUAUUCAGAGACGGCUGGAUUUUAUUGUAUAUAUUUUUGUGAAUUCUUAUUAAAGAAGCAAAAAUGAUUUGCAUUGACUAUUUGUCAUCUCCAUUGGCAUUGCAAGAAAGGAAUACAAUUGUACUCAGAACUCAUUCAUUAACAGACCCUAAUUUUUCUUCAGAGUUGUACAGUGUAGAGUAGAGUACUCGCAGCAGAUAUCAAUUAUGUUCAGCAAUUGUCUGACCCUUAGACAAUAUUUUAUACUCGUGGCAAUUUCCAAUGGUUGAAUUGUUUUCUGUUAUAACGCAUUACAUCUGUUGCUAAAAUACUGUUGUCUAUGUUAAUUUCAAUUCAUGUAAUUCGUAGUUGACCCGGCAAAAAGGUCAGACCCAAAGGCUCAGGCCUUGAAAGCUGCCAAGGCCGUGAAAUCAGCUUCGACAACGUUUAGAAGAAGUCAAAGAGGAUUAUUUCACUGACCGAAAACAUUGAAGAAGGAUAGGAAUCCCAAGUUUCCUCGCAUUAGAGCUCCUUCUAGGAACAAGCUUGAUCAUUACCAGAUUCUGAAAUAUCCACUCACCACUGAAUCUGCGAAGAAGAAGAUAGAAGACAACAAUACCCUUGUUUUCAUUCGUGCUGACAAGAAGAAAAUAAAGGAUUCAGUCAAGAAAAUGUAUGACACCAGACAAAAAUAAAAAAAAGUGAACACUCUGAUCAGGUAAAGAAGAACUGCUUGCUCAUUUACUCUGCGCUCAUUAUUGUUUUGCUUCAACUAAUUUAAUUUCACUGACUAAUGAAGAUAUUGUUAUUCUCCCAUUAUUCUUUUUGUUCGUUUGUUUAAUUCUUGCCUUCGCAAGUUCUCGUGUUCUGUUGUGCUUGGAUGCCAGUUUUAGAAAUUUUACUCAUUUGCAUUAAAGAAUUGAUGUUGGCAGCCUUCUAUGUUGAAAUGCUUUAUUUUGGAAAGAAUGAUAUUUUGUGAAUGUUACCGUAGUAUGACUCACCCAAUCAUCUUAUCAUAUUACUGCUUAGCAUAUUUAAAAAUCUCUUUGCUGUGAAUGGUCAGCUAUGUUAGGCCCUUCUAUGCUAGUAGUCGUGAUUAUAAUCUUACUUUUGGAAAUUAUAGCAUGCCAGAUGACACUUGUGUUCGAUUUGUUCAUGUAAUCUGUUUUAGGUUCUCAACAAGUAAUAGUUUCUUCUCUCGGUUACAAGUCACUCGCCCUCUUAUUAUUGCAGAAAUUUAAUACGCUGUCAUUUAUUUUUCUCCCGCUUCAGGCCAGACGAGACUAAGAAGGCUUAUGUUCGUUUGACGCCUGACUUUGAUGCUUUGGAUGUUGCAAACGAGAUUGGAAUCAAAUAAGUACCUGGCUCUCGAGGUUUGAAUUUGUGAUUUUUUUGGUAGAAUCUACCAGCGGCACUUGGAUUAUGUAAACAACCGUGCUACUUGGCCAGGGCCUUGGUUUUUCAGGGACAUGUGUCCCUCAUUGGCAGGGAGUCUGUCAAGUAGAAUAAUUCUUACAACCGAGCUACAGGAACCAUGGGAGUGAUUGUGGGGAUGACUGCGCGCGCGCACACACACACGGGUUUGAGACUUUUUAAUUCACGCGGGAUCCACUCGUCCCAUGUGAGGGCACGAUCAUCCACGUGGUCAUCGGUGUGGAUCGUUUAGCUUUAUUCUAAUUUUUAUGUAAAACUUGGUUGUGGUGAAACUUCUUUCAUUUCAUCUAAACGUUUGAUAUUCCAAAUACUGUAAUGAAUAAGUUGAACAUUAUAUUUAAUUCUACCUUUAAUUGAAC
rnacentral:lncRNA from 1 species